UGAUAGAAAAACGAAAAAGUGAUUUCUAUAUUUCCGGCUAUACUGUUUGUGAUGUAGACAAGGAAAUUAAGAGGGUUUUAGAAAUAACAUUAAAUUGCUGUUUGGAGAACGUUUAAUUUUGUACUUUUUGUCAAAUGACUCACCUGUCUCCUUGCCUGUCUCAAAGUUCAAUUGUUUUUUCCUCUGCUUCUGCGUCAAUUUGCAAGUGCAACCAAUAGCAGUCAAUUUUAGUCAGCUGUUUAUGGAUUAAAAUGGCGGUUAACGUUUUGAAUUGCUUGUGCUAAAAACGUGUGCCUAGUGGGAUUAAUAUCUGGCAGAUCAGCAUUCGUGUUUUUAAAGGGUGAUGUGGUGUAUUAUUUUUAACAUUAGGUUGAACAACUUCACGUGAAUUUAUAGCAAGCUGUGGGAGGAUGUGGAGGCCUCGUCGCUCGACGGUGACCUUGGCCGACGUGGUGGAGCUGAGGGGCGAGGCAGGACUGUCGGAGCCCGAGCUGUGGGCGCUGCUGUGCCAGGCCGCGCAGGCGCUGCAGGACCACUUCCUGUCCGGCGGCGACGAGGCCUGUCCGCCGCCGGGGACGGCGCCCUGCCGCCUGCACAUCACCAGCAGGGGUCGCGUGGCGCUGGACCUGAGCCCGGGGCCCGCCGGCGACCCGCACGCCGCCCCCGAGCCGCCCCCGCCCCGUGGCGCCGCCGCCGACACCGCCGACAGCAUCGAGAAGAUGUGGAUGUACUCGCUGGGCAGCACGCUGCUGGCGAGCCGUGCCUCGCCGGGCAGGUCCCUGCAGGCGGCCCUCGCCCGCAUGACGCACCCGGACCCGCGCCGCCGCGCCUCGCUCAUGGACCUGCUGGACGUGAUUGCUGACUACUGUCACACAUCUAGUCAGAGUAAACCAUUUACUCACAUAGUCAUGGACCUGUACUCUGAAGUCCUGGGUAAAUCAUCACAGUGCCUUCCUGACAACGCGAGCUCCACUCUCAGCCCCGUGACUGGCCAGGAGCACCGCAGAUCCAAUAGCUAUCCGAAACCAAAGCGGCAGGAAAUCUCCUCACCGUGCAGAGACAACAGCUCCAGUAUUUUUAAAAGCUCCUCGUUGAACAGCAAGGACCUCCCGACACGGAGGCACCCCGUGCAGCGGGCUGCCUCCCGCCUGUACCGAGCCACGUCCUUCCUGGACUCCCGGGCCAAGUACUGCACUCCGAGGACCUACAUCGGCCCCGAGUUCAUCGUCAGGGCGGCCAACCCCAGCAAGAUCAUACAUAUCAGUCGAGUCAAGGUAGCCCACAAGAGAAGAGUGUUAGUAAUAAUGUUGAGUGGACAGAAACUAGAUAUUUCUUGUAACGGGAACAGCACUACCGCAAAAGAAUUGUUCGAGGUGGUGGUCCAGAGCGAGGGCCUGGAGGAGAACUUCAUGCUGGGGCUGGCGGUGCUGCUGGCCGGGGACUUCGUGUUCCUCCCGCCCGACACCAAGCUGUGCAAGGUGGCGCCCGCGGGCUGGAGCCGCCCGGAGCUGAAGAGGACCUCCGGCGUGCCUUCCUGCGCCUUCACCGUCUACGUCAGGGUCAGGCUGUUCCUGCCCAGCCUCCGGGGCAUCAGGCGCUGGGAGGUGAAGCACGCGCUGUACCUGCAGCUGCGCAGAUGCAUGCUGGAGCAGCACGAGGACUGCGCGCUGGAGGAGGCGGCCGUGCUGGCGGGGCUCGCGCUGCAGGCAGAGUUCGGGGACCACAACGAACAGGAGCACGGGUGCGGGGACUACUUCCUGCUGGAGCACUACGUUGCGGAGGGGGCGGUGCCCCGCGGCCGGGAGGCGAGCGUGAGGGCGCUGCUCCAGGGGCAGCACGCUCGCUGGCGGGGGCUGGACCCGGGGCGGGCGGAGGAGGCCUUCGUGGCCCGGCUCCAGCGCUCCGCCCGCUACGGCUCCCACUUCCACGCCGCCCGGCUGGUGAACAAAGAGGGCCCCGACUCGCCCGUGUGGCUGGUGGUGAGUGGCGAGGGAGUGUCAGUGUGCAGUCGCCACUCCGAGUCCCGCCAGAGGACCCUGAGGGAGCAUUUUACCUGGAAGAACAUCCAGAAGCUGAGCUUCAGCAAGAGCUGCUUCUUCCUCCAGUCGGCGGCCGGUGGCCUCACCAGGCUCAAGCUCCGGAUGGACGACAGAAAGAGUUACUUUGCAUUCCACCUGGCUUCUCUUCAUCAUCAGUUCUUCCUGAAGCUAAAAGUGGAACUCAUAUCUCUGCAAGCUCUUUCAACAGAGUUCGGGGUGCCGUUGAAGCGGUCGCCCGAGCGGGAGCGCCUGUUCCGGGUGGAGGACGGCCAGCCCAGCAGGGUGCCCGUGCUGGACAAGUGGCAGUACGGGCUGUUCACGCCGCCCAAGCAUCGCGCCGGUACCCCGCUCGAGGAGACCCAGAACAAGGAGAACGAGCAGCCCAACGGCCGCCCCGCCGUGCCGCUGCUCAGGUCAAACAGGGAGUGGGAUCGGGACGCCAGCUUGAGCUUGCGCCACGUGGCCGGCGAGGUCAGCAAGCCCGCUGUGGCGGCGGAAGCGAUCACGCCUCGCCGGGCCAGGGUGAAGAUGGGCACCCGAGCCUUCACCAGCAGUCAGCAGCAUCUCUUCCUGCCGACAGACGCCUCCUGGAAGAUAUGCAACAUCACGACUGAGAAAGGAACCAAAGUGUUACCGGAAACCACUGUGAAAAAGUCACCACUAUCUGACGCAUAUGUUAUCAGUAAGUAGAGUUUUACUAUUUAUUUUUAUGAUUAUUUUAUAUUGUAUCUGUAUCUGUGGACCUUUAAGUAGCUCUUAUAAACUUGGCUGAAAACAAAAAAAAAUUGAUUUAUUUUUGGCAAACAAUGUAUUUAUUUAUUAAUGGUUGAUUGCAGGGCAUUUUUUGUCUCAUCAUGAAUGUACGUAUAUAAAUUUGUAGUAAUUUUUGUGACAAAAAUUGCUAUUACUUAACAGGCUACUCAAGCAUUUUGCAGUUAUAACCACAAUGGAAACUGCACGAAAAACUAAGUUGCUGCAAUGUGGGAUGUUUGCUUUGGAGUUGAUAUGCGGUAAUUAUAACUGAAUAAAAAUCUCUCAUUUCAAGUAUGUGUACAAACAGUUUUUUACUACAUGGCCAAGAAAAACUAAUUUUUUGUUAAACUUGUCUGUUUACAAACACUGAGGGUUUUCUGGUACAUAUUCUGUUUCUGUUUUCCCGAUAGCCCGAAAGAGUUCUUUAUUCGCGAUCCACCAAAACAGUUAUUUAUUCCCGAAAGCCCGAAAGAGUUCUUUAUUCGCGAUCCAUUGAAACAGUUCUUUAUUCCCGAUUGCUCGAAGAAAGGGUUCUUUAUUCGCGAUCCACCGAAACAGUUCUUAAUUCUCGAUAGCCCGAAAUAGUUCUUUAUUCGCGAUUGACAGAGUUAUCUGCUCGCGGUCGACAUUUUAACCAAUUCUUGAUUAUCUAACACUAUUAGGAAGUGGCAGGUAGGUUAAAACAAAGCAUAUACACAACAAAUUUUAGCGAAAUAUGAGCUAAAUUAUGUCAAAGGUUUCAAUCAUUGUCACUCUGACAAUGCUUCAUAAUCAUGCAAAUAAUGUGCUUGAAUCAAAUUGUAUAUAAUUUCAUAUACAAUCGUAACUAAAAUUAUCAUUAAAAAAAUUAAAUUACCAUAAUUUGAUGGAUUAGUGUGGGAUGGAAGACAGAUUAUUACUUUUAAUAACUGGUAACGAUAACCAUUUUAAUAACCGGUUAUCUCUAAUAACUACCAGCAAAUAAAAAAUCGGAAUAGAGGUUCUCAUACAAAGUUUUUUUAGUUAAUACUGUCACGUCUCACUUUCAGGGGGGGGGUUCCUCUUCUUAAAUAUGUAGCUCAGAUAAAUAAUAAAAUAAAAACAUUAACUAGCCAUAGAGCUCCUCGGCAUUAGAAUCAUUUUAGUAGGUUUAUCCUUGUACAAGGAUUGAAAAAUUAGGAUACUGAGAAAAAUAAGAUAACCCUAAAAACAAUAGAACACAUAACAUUUAUUAAGAAAAAUAAAUAGUGAUAACAAAUGAGGUGGAACCUUCCACGUCCUCUACAAUAAAUAAAUACAAAUAAAUAAAUAAACAUAGUUAUUAUUAUUCCAUUAUUCUACCCACAAACAUUCUCAAUUUAUUCUUGUCACAAUUUUCCAUGCGACCUAGUGAUGCCAAACGUCAUUAGUUAUUCCGCAACUUCAGUAUUAAAAUUAUCAAGAACAUUCUCGAACAAGAAAAAGACUUUAACAAUUACUCAGUUGAGUUCUAUAACGUCAUCAUAAACAUGUAAGAAAAGGACCGCGAUACAAACGAAUUACAGAGUUUAUAAUGGAAAAUAAAAUAAAAUUUUAGUUCUGACAUCAUUAAAAGAUAGUAAACCAUUGUUCAAAAAUUAUUUAAGAGAGCAACUACCACGCAAAAAGGGAAUUUUAAACAUUUAACUAUGAAGAAACAUAAGUUGCAGAAGACUAAGACCAUGGCAUUAUCCAGACGCCAUUUCACUCACGUAACCCUCUCUUCUUCGCUGCACGGCCGGGCAGCAUAACAGUCUUUCACAGGAUUACAGCCACGAAGAAACAUUUCACGUCCCUUUUAACCAAAUUACUUGGCCCCAAAACCCCUACGGGAAAAACAUCCUGACGGGAAGUUUUCUUGUGUUUUCCAAACACGUAAAGUUAUUAAAACAAGCCGGCCGCGCAUGCGUCCACGCUGUGAUGUCCACGUAGUCAGAAAACCGGCCGCUAGAUUGCAACACUCGCCUGCGCAUCGGUGAUUGCGCACAAUCUACGCUCCCAGCUGGCCUCAAAAGAACGGUAAACAAGCCUGCGCCGAAUUUCUCCAGAACCGCAGCAAACAACGCGUCAGCUGGCCUGGCUGAAACGCGGUCACGCCUGCGUCCCCAGACAUACGUGCAAGACUCGCACUCUCCCAGCCCCACGGAGACCCUAAUUACAUCAAAGGUGUUACAACAUCUGAGCUUGAGGGAAACUAAGUCCCGACAAAUAUAAUAAUUUAUAUAUUAAUAAUAACAAUUUUUAACCACGUGACAAUACAUUUUAUUGGUUAUAUUAAGUUAUCUCCUUGGCAGCGCAAAACUAAUUUAAUCGAUGCUGUACAACUACUAAAGGCCUCAAUGCUUGUGGCGCUAGAUUAAUAUGUGCAGCUACUAGCUUAACUGUUGUUGCUAUUUAUUAUACUUGUCUUGUAUUGACACAUAGAUUUAUAUAUAUGCACAAAUGCUUGUGCAUAGGGAUACAGUUGAUAAUAGUUAUAUUAUAAUAUUACAAAACACAAUGGUAAUUUUAAUCAUUUAUUAAAGAAAGUCAGAAUUAUCUCAGGUUUUUAGCAAAAGGAAAAAUGUUAUUGCUUUCAAAAUUUUAAUAAUUGUUGGCACUGCAGAACAAAUAUAUAUAUGGAAAAAUGUCUGGAGUGACGAUGCGCACAUUUACUUAGCAAUCAAAAGUCUCUUUUGUUCGGGUCCAAUAUCGUAUACACAGAUUCAGUCUAGAAUUAUGAUUUACAUAUGUCUUUACCUCGGCUAGAUCAAAAUUGUUUAAGUUGGUAGAGCUUUGAUGCUCUCUCUCCCAGACCACUGGGUAGUUAAAAGUUGUGUGUUAUACUAGUGUCAAAUUAAAUUAACGUAAUUAAUAUUACAAUAUUUAAGUUUCUCAAAGUCUUUCUUGAAGUUAGGCCACAAAAUAAAUUUGUUAUGGGCGUGAUAAGUGUUUCGUAUUAAUGAGAUGGAGUAACAAACACAGUCAUAUAUUACUCAUGUAUUUAUGCACUCCUAGAAUCUUUAUCCUUUUGGAUAAAGUCCAAUUAAUAUACGAUGACACUUAAACAAUCUGUUUCUUUCAUCCUUUUGUGCGGAUGCCUAUUUCUAAAUAGCUAUUCUUCAAGAUAGUUUUCGACGAAGUCAGAUACGCUUCCAUUCAUUGAUAGGCUAUCACAUUCCCUUUUUUUGAAACCAUAAUUUAAGUAUCUUAACAAUACGAGGAAGACAAGAAAUCAAUUUUCAGACUAGCACCAAAAGUUACUGAAGGACAUCUGGCUCCAAUUUCAAGUGAGCGAAUGAAGGUAUCAACAGCAGCCCAAGUCAUGAGUCACACUGUUGCAGCAGCUAUCCACAGUUUUGUCAGUAGAGAUAUACUUCCUCCAGAAGCUACUGUGACUGCAUCGUUUGUAGCUGAUGUCGAUGAAUUGUUCGACAGUUUCAACGGUUCUGACAGAUAUCCCGACGCUGGCAAGCCCCUCAGGUGCUGCUUGUCGGAGUCAAGUCCACAUUUAGAGUAUUGGCAAGAAAAAGCUAAAAGCCUCAUCCACAACUGGCAGUUUUGCACUGAUCCUGUUGCUGACCGGAGGUUAAGGCGUGAGAGAAAACAAAAAACACCACCGUUGAGACCAGGUAAGAAACGAUGCACUGUCUCACAUCCACCUUCACAGUGGGGUUGGAUAACGUCCAUCAAUGCAGUCAUCAAUGUUUGGAAUGUUGUAUCAGAAGCAGGCUUCAGCUAUUUGCAGCUGCGAGCACUUAAUCAAGAUCCACUCGAAAAUCUUUUUGGGUCGAUUCGUUCAUAUUGUGGUGCAAACACCAAUCCAACUUGUGUUCAGUUUGCUGCUGCUUUGAAAACUGCCAUUGUUAAUGGAUAGGCUUUCAAGAGUUUCUCAGGUAACUGCCGAAAGGAUGAUGCUAAUAUUUUUAAUGAUUUGCGGUGUUUCCUUGUAACUGAAUGUCAAGGAAGUGAACAAGAUUCAACUUGUGACUAUACAAAACUUCCAUCAGAUAUGUUACACAGUGCUGUAACUGGAAUUGACUGUGCAGUUGAAACAGGAGAUGCAUCCAUUCUGUCAUCAGCAUAUGUUGCAGGGUUUAUUGCCCACAAGCUGUUGGAGAAAGUUAAGUGUGACAAGUGUAAAGUGUGUUUGUUACGAAGUAACGUUGAUUUUUGUAAUACUGGUGUAAGUUUCAAAGAUUAUUCAAGUGUGUCUGACAGUCUGACCUACCCCUCUCAGAACUUGGUCACUUUUGUUGCAAAGUUUGCAAAUAUAUUUGAAGAAUUCAUGGUUGUCAACUGCCACAUUGAUAAUCUUUUGCUGUCACUAUCUCAGCAUGUUCUGGAUAUUGUUAGUAUGCCAUGGCUUGAAGAGACUGCCUGCGAACAACAUUCAGAUUAUCUUCAAAAGGGUAUUGUAAAAGCAGCUGCAGAAAUCUCUGUGUGCUGGUGGUGCAAACGUAUGAAAAGAAAAUUGAUUGCAACAAAGAAGAGUAAACAGCAGUACAGAAAAAUUCACAUAUUAACACACAAGUAAUUUUGAUUAUUGAUUCUCUGUUCAGUAUGUUGAAUGGCUGAUAGUUGAUGGAGAGUGGUGUUGGAGGGCCCCUGACCUCCCCAACUUUUCACGAGUGUUUUCCAGAAAUACAAUAGAUCAGCUGAUUAUUUGGUUCAAUGUCAUGGUCACCUAGUUUAGUUCAUUAAUUUUUUUAGCAUUGGAAAUACUCUUGUAACUAAUUUUUAUAUUUAUUAUAUGCAGUAAAGGUAUUGUACUAUGUUUUUUACCAAUUCUUCAGGUUAUUAGGUAGAUUAUUUUUAUAUAAAUGCAUUUAUCAGUAUUAUAUCUAUUGCAAUAUUAUUUUCAUAACUAUAUUGUUAUGUUUGUAGUUAUUUGGAAGCUGCAAUUAUGUUUCCUGAGAUUGUUAUUUGUUUUGGUAAAAGGAAGGAUGGGGGUGGCAUCAAUUUUUUAUACUUCUUUUUUGUAUGCAGGAUUUUGACAGUUUCCGUAUGUGUUCUUAUAAUGGGAAAAAGACAGAUGUUUGUUCACUUUGUUCUCAUGGGAUACGGUAAAUCAAUCAGUGGUUAUGAUUUUAGAAUUAUUCAAUUACAAUAGGUAUUUGUAGGUAACUAAUGUUGGAAAUUUUUUUACCAAAAAUGAGUGGUGAUCAUGAUCAGUUGAAUUGAAAAAAUUAAAUGAAUUAAAAUUUACAAAUGUCGUGGCUGCCAUUUGAGUUUUACUUUUUACAGACAUGUUCUUUUAUCUUUUCUUUUUUUAAUAAUAACAGAAUGCUGAUGUCAGCAAUUCAUUUGCGUCAUGCAGUUUGUAUUGAAGGAAAGUCUCCAACAGUCUACCAGUGUACAAAUCCUCAAGUGAAUACUAAUGAUCUGCUAAUAUCAUUGUUGUAAAGUGGAACUUAUGUGUACUUUUCUUCACCAACUAUAGUGGUUGUGCAAUCAGUGGUCUGCAUUUCCUUAAUGUGUCUUCCAAACUCCAUCACAUCAUUUCAUUCAAGGAGUACAUUAAGUAAAAAUUGCUGUGAAAGUGGCUAUGUCUCUGUCAUAAUGUCAAAUUAUUGCUGUGUAUGUUUGAGCACUGGUCCUUUAUUACUAUUGCAGUAUUUUUUAAUAUCUUUACAUAUUAUGUAGAUAAAACUAUUUUUCCACUUCAUGUGUGUAAGCAGUUGAAUAGUAUGUGAAUGCAUUCAUUACAAUGUUAUUUAAUAUGGGAGUAGUUGCUGGUAAGUCUAGCAUAAUUUUAAUAUUAUAAAACAUUUAAUGUUUUUUAAGCUAUAUAAUUUCUGCAAAGCCUUUAAAAAUGGACAGAACAUAUAACUUCACAGUAUUAAUGGUGCAGAUUUUACCAAUAUGAACAUAAUGAAAUUUAUCUCAAAACAUUUUUCAGAAUAAGACAAAUACUUUACUAGGUCAAGUCUUUGUGCAGAAAAUUUGAAGGAAAAAAAAUACAAUCUGUACAAUAGUAAUAUGGUAUAAUAAUCACACAGGGAUCUGUCCUCUGAAAUUUGAGGUGGGGGUACAUUUUAUAAUGUUCGUGUAGACAUAACUUUGACCAUUUUUAUUGCACAUUUAUUUCUUUAUACUUUUUAUUUAAGGCAUUUCAGAACUUCUUUGCAAAAAAAAAAAGAUUCAAGAUUAAAAUACAUAAAAUUAACAUGUAAUCAAUUCUUUAAAAAUAACAAAUUUAAUAUUCCUGCCUUGAUUUAAAACAUCCUGCCGGACCGUAGAGCGUAUUGUAUAUCCAUUCUCAAAAGUUGUUUCACAUUUUUCUUCUGUAACUUAGCAUAUUUACAUUUUGUGCAAGUGCAUAUGCAUACAAAAGAGUGAAAGCACCACAAUAAAAGAACAUGACCUGACUUUCAAACUAAUUAAAUUUAUUACCUACAAAAUUAACAUCAACUUAAGUCAUUUUAUGAUUUUUAGGAAACAAAAUUUUAUAUGUAAAAAUGUUUGGUUCAAAUGUUUCUAUUCCAUCAAAUCCAUUCUCAUUUACAUAUCCUUGUGGUUGAUUACAGGAUAAAUUUUUUUUGUAACUAUGUCAAAAUUUCCAUUAAAUAUCGCAAAUGGAUCCUUGGUAACAAUCAAGAAAUAUUAACAAUAUGUAUUUGUGAAAAAUUUUAAUUUAUUGUGACAUUUUUAUUUGUUAAAAUCUAUAUACAUUGCUGCUUCCAUUGCAAAAAAAGUUUUUUUUUAAAUUAUUUAGGCAUAGUUAAUAAAUUAGAGAUUUUUUUUUUUUGCAAUUGUGUAAUGCUUCCACUUGUACAAAUGAUUGUAAUCAGUUGUAUUGAAAAUAUUCUAUGAACAUUGAUUGAUGUAGUAGUUCUUUGUCAUUUGAGUUGAGUUUUUUUUACAGAUAUUUUCAAUAACAGAAUUUUGGUGUGCAUAAUUUUUCAUGGCAAAAUCCUCAGGCAAAGGCCAAAAUCCUUUUCAAUCCACUGCAUCGAUUAACUGUGCCAUGAAGAUAGUGUGGUAUGAAUAAAGUAUUAUGGAGUUAAUUUAUGUAAAAUUGUAUUAACAAAGAUGUGUC